ACGCUGUUAGCAUUAAAGAAAACCAACCUGGGAGGGACGCACUCCGGCCUCCACCCAGCUCGGCCUCUCUCCCCUGCCCCUUCUCCCAGCUGCUCAGAGACCCUCGCCUCUCCUGGCUCCUCUGUUCUGCCAGCUCCUCUUCCUCUCUUCCAUCCCUCUCCCCCUCUGCUUCCAGGACUCUGCUGGUCUCCAGGGGAACACUUUGACCUCUGCUCAGCUGCUCUGGAUCAAGCCCCCCUCCAGCCCCCACUACCCCCACCAUGUGGGCUGCUGAUCAAGAGGGUCCACCUAGCGAGGUGGUGAGGGGCACAUGGCCACACAGGGAGGCUGCCACCCCUAAGCUCCAUCUGCCUCAGGUAAGAAACCCCAGGCUUACCCAGCCAGAUGCUUAAGGCCCUGGCAUACCAGGAAAUCCCCUAACACCCCAACAUCAGCCUGGCCUCCUCAGAGGCUUUGUGACCCCCAAACCUGGGCUCUGACCCCCUAGCAAAGAAGGUAGAAUUUGUGGGAAUACAAAUGACCACCCUGGCUAAAGAUUUCUACCCAGCCGCUGGUUCUCCAAGCAUUUUGUUGGGGCCUUGCUUCCUUUGUCCUCUGUCUCAAAGUGACCUCCGGCCUGUCCCCACUGCCUAAGGAUAUGGGAUAUGUGGGAGGAGAGGAAAUGCACGGGUAGGUUCAGCAAGCACCCCUCGAGCUCGCGCCCCUCUUGACCACCAGCCUGAAGGCCACAGCUCCCAAGGACUCUCCACGGGACGCAGAGCUUGCCAGGAGCAUAGAACGGGCCGCUCUGAGUUCUUUCCUGGGUGCCGGGGACAGGGUAGGGUCCUUACUGCAGAAGUGUCUCCACCACGGCUUUCUGGUGGGCGGCCUCCUCCGGGCUGAGGUUUUCCAGCUCUUUCAGAAUGGGUGGCGCGAAGUCGUCCCCAUCGUCAUCUGUGUCCUCUUCGGAGCCACGCGUGUCCCCCAGGCCAUUGGGCAGCUCGGCCAGGUCCCCUCGACUCCCACCGCAGGGCUCCCCCUUGUCCAGGGGACCACCUCCAACCAUCAGGUAGGGCCCCGGCUCCCCCAAGGCCUGGAUCAGAGCCUCCUUGCUCAGGCCAGACUCGAGGAGGGCAGCCAGGAGCUCCGUCUGCAGCUGGCUCAGCUUAGAGACCAUGGCUCCGCCGCCACCGGGCCACGAGGCCCAAGGCCACUGAGCUAGCCGCCUCCCCCACCCACGGCCGGUGUCUACUUGCCGGCAGGCUGGCAGUCAACGCACCAGGCUCGCUGCACCCACCGCCCCCCCAAAUCCCACUAGUCAAGCCCUGUGGGCACCCCCAGCCCCCAACCCUGGCCCCAGCGGCCAGUGAAUCAGGGCCCCUGCCUGCUCUGUUUACAUUGGAGCCGGGGAAAUUCUCCAAGGUUCAUAUUUAUCCGUGUGCUUAGCGAAGGGACUGAACUUUGGACUUCAGCCUUGCAAAGUGCAGGCCUCAUGGUCGUGAGAGAGACCGGACUGGGAGCCAUGGCCUGCCACUGGGAGUGAGCAUAAGGGCGGGUGGGGGAGGUGGAGUGGGGGUCGGGGGCUCAGGGACAGAAGCACCAGGAGCCAGGAGGCCUCUGAGAGAAGCGCCAGGGCCCACCGCUCAGGUUGUUUCCAGCCGGGCGCGGGAGAACUUUGAGGGCGGGCUUCUUUGGGCAGCUGGAGCAGCAGGAAGCUGGGCCACUGGGCCGGUUCUCAAGGACAGAGCUAGGCCGUGUUCCCUGGAGUAGGUCAGUGCACCUCAGUCCUAGCGCAACACCAGACUCCCCAGACUUGGGUCUUACCACUUCAGACUGCCGUCUUGAGGACUAUACUAUUGUGAUGUGUCCCUUCUCAUCAAUGUGAGAUCCCAACCGUGUGUGUGUGUGUGUGUGUGUGUGUGUGUGUGUGAGAGAGAGAGAGAGAGAGAGAGAGAGAGAGUGUGUGUGUAUGUGAGUGUGUGUGUGUGUGUGUGUGUGUGUGAGAGAGAGAGAGUGUGUGUAUGUGAGUGUGUGUGUGUGUGUUUAUGUGUAUAGGAGUCUCUGUGUGGUUUUAUCUGUGUGUGUGUCUGUGUCUGUGUAAGUCUGUAUGUGUCUAUGUGUGGUAUGUGUGUCUAUGUGUUUCUAUGUGCGUGUCUGUGUGUAUCUAUGUGUGUGUCUGUGUCUGUGUGAGUCUGUAUGUGUCUGUGUGUGUGCAUGUGUUUAUGUCUGUGUGUAUCUCUGUGUGUGUGUGUGUCUGUGUGAGUCUGUAUGUGUCUGUGUGUGCAUGUGUUUAUGUCUGUGUGUUUGUGUCUAUGUGUGUCUGUAUCUCUAUGUGUCUGUGUAUGUAUUAGUAUGUGUGUGUAUGUGUCAAUGUGUGUUGUAUAUCUAUGUGUGUGUCUAUGUGUCUCUGUGUGUGUCUCUCUGUGUGUGCACACACGUGUAUUGUUUUUUUCUAGACAAUCUUACUGUGUAGUUCAGGCUGACCUUGAACCUCUGAUCCUCCUGCCUAUACCUCCCAAGUGCUGGUACAGGCCUGUAGCAUAGGCAGUUUUACAAAGUGCUGGGACCAGGGCCUUAGAUAUGCCGGGCAAGUACCAAGAGCCUCAACCACAGCACCAAAUGCACCCUUUUCAUUUUUCUUGGGAUGAUUUUCUUCAGAACUACUUAAUGAAAGAGAUUCAUUUUUUUAAAAUCUUUUUUAACGUGUGUGUGUGUGUGUGUGUGUGACAGCCUGGGUGUGGAGGUCAGGGGACAACUGCAGGAGCCAGUGCUCUUCCUCCACCAUGUGGGAACUUAGCUGGUCUGACUUGGCCAGCAGCGCAUUUACCUGCUGAGCCACUUGAGGGGCUCCCUUCCCCGUUUUUAGUAUACCCCAGCCCUGCACCACACCAUCCCAUCAACUCAGAGCCAUUUUCAUCAUCCCAAAAGAAACUGCGCAUCUACAGAGAGACCUAUCUCUAGCCCAGCCUCUGGCAGCCAGGGACUACCCUCCUUUCCUCCUUCCCUCCCACCCUGGGUAUUUCAUGCAAAUGGAGUAGAGCCUUGUGACAAAGCUCACUAGUCAGAGCACAGGUCCCUUUAUCCCUUUCAUAGAGAAUGGACGCCCAUUGUUUUGAGGAGAUGUGGCUCUCCCCAUACAUCCACGGAUGGUUCCCCCCGUGUUUCAGCUGUGGCGAGCAGUGCUGCUCAGGACAUCCAUAUCCAACAGUUUAUGUGAAUGUGUCUUUUCAUCUUUUCAGUUUUUCAUCAAUUUAAAAUACUUAGCACAUGGACAAGGAGUUCUAGGCUAGCCUGCACUACAUACUACAAGUUAAUUUUUUUUUUUUAAUCCGUGAAUAAAAUAUCACACUUUUCACUAGAAACAAGCCCAUCCUUCCCUGAUUUCAUCCUAGCUGGGCUCCAGGGACUUCACCCUCAUGGUCCCCUGCAUCUUUCUCCUGGUGAGGAGAGCUGCGCGCCUGAGCCGGGCUGUUUCCAGAGCCUUCAAGGUUCUUUGGAGCUAGGGCCAAGUCCUGCAGCGCAUGGGUGGGGAGGAGGCAACAGCCAGAAAACCAGCAGCUGGUGAGCCACGCACACAUGACGGUGGUAAACCUUGUCCCCUUCCCACGAGGCCCUUCCCACAUCUGGUGCUCCACACAAGAGUCACCCACGGGCUGGAGAGAUGGCUCAGAGGUCUUAACUGGUUGUUAAGCACUAGUUGUUCUUCCAAAGGUCCUGAGUUCAAUUCCCAACAGCCACAUGGUAGCUCACAACCAUCUAUAGUGAUAUAUGGUACCCUCUUCUGGCAUGUAGGCAGAACACUGUGUAUAUAGUAAAUAAAUAAAUCUUAAAAGAAAAGAAAGAAAAAAAGUCCCCCUCAACAAUUCUACCACCAGCCAUACAUGGCUACCGAGAACUUGGAUGGUGGCUGAGGCCAUUUCUUGUUGAAAUGGUGUUACUUUUGAUGAACUGGAUUAAAAGUUUAAAGCAAAGCUAGGAGGAAGUGUUAAAAGAGCUGGAAGUAGCUUAAUGGUCACACACACACAAACACACACACACACACACACGCACAUGCACACGCACAGACGCUUGAAUGCAUGAGCCCUGAGUCCUGUCCCCAGCAAAGCAUUUAAAAACAAUUAAGUUAAAAUUUAAAAUGAUUUAAAUGAUAUUUCAUUAAAAUGAAAUUCAUGGUGCGGUGGCUCACACCUAUAAGCCCAGGACUCAGAGAGGGAGAGGCAGGCGGAUCUCUGUGUAUUCGAGGCCAGCCUGAUCUGCAAAUCGAGUCGAGGACAGCCAAGACUACACAGAGAAACCCUGUCUCGAAACAAACAAAAAAAAAAAAAAAAGAAGAAGAAGAAGAAAAUUCAUUAUUGUAAUAUAUUGCACUCACUUAUAAUUAAUUUUAAAUUAUUUUAUUGUUAACUUGUGGUGCUGGCUAGUUUUAUGUGAACCUGACACGUUAGAGUCAUUUGGAAAGAGGGAACCUCCACCAAGAAAAUGUUCCCACUGGGUUGGCCUGUGGGAAGAGCCUGUGAUGAACUUUCUUGCUUGGUGAUUGGUGUGGGAGGCCCAGCUCACGUGGGUGGUGUAACCCUGGGUAGGUGGUCUUAGAUGGUAUAAGCAGACUGAACAAGCGGAGAGGAGCAAGCCGGUGAGCGGCACCCUCCAUGGCCUCUGCAUCGGUUCCUGCUCCGGGAUCCUGUCUUGACCUCCCUCAGUGAUGGACUGUGAUCUGAGAGUAUAGCUGAAACAAACCCUUUCCUCCCAGAGGUGCCUCCUGCCAUAAUAGAAACCUUAACCAAGACACUUAUUUAUUUACUUUCUGGUUUUGUUUGUUUGUUUUUCAAUUAUUUAUUUUUUUUAAAUAUGUGUAGGGGGUGCUUGCCAUGGCACACGUAUGGAAUCAGAGGACAAUUUGGUGACCUCUGUUCUCACCUUCCACUUUCCAGGCUCCAAGCACCGAACCGAUUUAGUCAGACUUGCAGGGUUCAGUGGUAAGCACCUACCUUUACGGAUGAGCCCAGCUGGCUUAUGGCUCUGGUUUGGUUUGGUUUUGAGGCAGGGACUCAGCAGGAACCCUGGUUGUCCUGGAACUUGUUAUGUAGACCAGGCUGGCCCUAAAACUCCCAGAGCUCUGCAUGCCUCUGCUCCUGGAGUGCUGGGAUUAAAGAUGUGGUUCACUGUGCCUACCACUUUGGGAUUUGGCAUUUUUCAAUUAAUUUUAUUAUUUAUUUGUUUGUUUGAGAUAUGGUCUUUCUACAUAACUAGUUGCUUGUUUUUGUUUCAGUAAGUAGCUGAGGUUAGCCUUAGACUCAUAAUCCUCCUGCUUCAGACUCUCAAAUGAUAAUAUUAUAGACAUGUGCCACUGUGCCUGACAAUUUUUCAUUUAAAAACUUUUUAAUUAGGUGGAAGCAGGAGGAUUAUGAAUUUAAAGUAAAUUUCAACUACAUAGUGAACUUGAGCUAGGGGAGACCUUGUCUCAAAAUAAAGAAAGAAAGAAAAAAGAAAGAAAGAAAGAAAGAAAGAAAGAAAGAAAGAAAGAAAGCCAGGUGUGGUUGUACAUGCUUGUAAUUCCAGCACUUGGGAGGCAGAGGCAGACAGAUCUCUGAAUUUAAGGCCAGUCUGGUCUAUAUAAAGGGUUUCAGCACAGCCAGGGACCCUACCUCAAAGAGAGAGAGAGCCACCAAUAAAUAAAUAGAAAUAAAAAAUAAAGUUCACUCAUUUCUUUUCUCUCUCCCUGUUUAUUUUGGGUUUUAUUUCCUACCAUGUGACCAGGGGGCUCAUGCUCCUGUGGCCAUGCCUCCUUUACUUCAAUGGGCAACCCCUCCCCCCAACCAUGAGUCAGAAUAAACCCUUUCCUCCUGAGGAUCUGUUUUCAUUAAGCACAGCAAUGGGAAAAGUAACGGGCAUGGUUGUGUAGACCGGUUGUGCGUUUUCUAGAAUGUGAGCCCCAUGAGGGUGGGGUCUCCUCUGCCUUGUUCACAGAUGUAUGCCCAGAGCUCGUAUAAUGCUUGGGAAUACAGUGUUGAGCUAAACAGUAGAUGCUCAGUAAGUAUUCAUUAAAUAUAUCUCAUUACAACUAACCAUGUUUUACGGGUUUUUGUGGUGUGUGUGUGUGUAUGUGUGUUAAUGAGGUCCAAUCCAAUGCUCUAUGGUUUGAAUGUUUUCUUCAAAGUCUGGAAACCACCUGCAGUGCUCAGUGUCGGCCUCAUCAAGAACUUCUUGCCCUUAUCUCAAGAGCGGAUUAGUUGCCCAGAGUGAAUUUGCUGGGAAAGGGAACGUGCCCGCCUCCUGCCCUUCUGCCUUCCCCCAUGGAUGGUUUUGUAAGAAGCCUUCUUGGCUAGAUGCUGGACUUUCCAGCCUCUAGGAUCAUGACCGCAACUGCUUUCUGGUUGUUGUAAAUUACCCAUUCCCAUCUGUUUUUGUAGCCGUGGGUACAGAUGAAGGCGCCGUGCUUGGCUUGGCUCUGCUGCACGCUUCAUUCUUGGACUGGGUUCUCAGACACCUCUGAAUAUAGUUAUAGUUCCAUUAUAGUUCUGUUAUAGUUCCAUUCCGAAGAGAAGAAAGGAGAGGAGGAGAGGGCUUCAGUGAGGAUCAGAGUCCCUCAGAGCUGGCAUCUAAACCAAACUGCCUGGCAUGAGCGGGCAGCCCCCUGUGGGGGUGGGACCCCUGGUGCUUCGGUCUCAGGCAUUGUCCGGGUGUCCAUGCCGAUGACCAGAGAGAGGACUAUGAGCUCUCCUCGGUGGCUUCGUGCUUCUACAGCUGAGGGAUGCCUGCGUGGUGGCUGAAGCAGGGCUCAGAACUCAGCUGUAAGUGAUGGAGGUUUUGAAUCUCAAAGCCUCCAGCAAGACGGCAUGACCUAAAUCUCCUCAGCUGAUGUCACUAGCGGGAGAACCAAGUGUUCCGAAGCCUAAGGGACAUUUCUCAUUCAAACUACCAUGAAGAGUCUCACUACAUAGCCUGGCUGGCCUGGAACUUGUUAUGUAAAUCAGGCUGUCCUUGAACGUAACAGAGGUCCACCUGCCUCUGUCUCUAAGAGCUGUUAAAGGCAUGCUCUGUUUUGGGUUUUUAUUCUUUCUUUCUUUUCUAACACCUGUGAUGAUGUCCUAGCAGUAAGGUAGCCUGUUGACUCAGCAUAACUGCUCGAACCUUGGCAUUAGAUUAGAAUCUACUUCCUUCGUUUCUGGCUCUGGGGUCGUUUUUGUACACCACUCACUCAGUAUCAACAGGCCCGGAAAACUGGCCUCGGGAAAACUGGCCUCGGGAAAACUGGCCUCGGGAAGGUACCGUAGACAAAGAAUGGGAGCUGCUUCCUUGAUCAGACUGAAGGAUCUGGGAGUCGGUGGUUUGCAAGGCACCCAACAGGCGUCUCUGCCUUACCCGCUAGACCUAAGCUCAUUCUUUUGGGUCCUGGGUUGCAUGGUUUGGGAACUUUAGAACUUAAGGGCCUCCACUGACACAGAAAGAGUUUAAAAACAAAAAAAAACAAACAAAAAAAAAUAGUUGGGUGAACACACCUGGUUAGCUUUUCUUUGCCUCAGUAAGAAGGAUGCUGGCUCAGCCAAUCCCAGAGCAGUCUUGGCUUUAACUCACCCUCCUUUGCAUGUGCACCUGGCUGUGAAUGCAGGCGGCAAGAAUAAGGGUGCGCCUGUUCCCAGACGCCCGCGCCGUUUACACGACCGAAGAAGUAUUUUCUGAGUGGAGUCCGUAAGUUGUGACAACAUUUCUGCAUUGUGGUCCUUGUCGUCUGAAAGAAUACUGGGGUGUGCCUGGCCCUUGAGUAACAUCAUCAUCAUCAUCAUCAUCAUCAUCAUCAUCGUGUGUGGUGGGGUAAGCAGGUGGACAGCUCAGCUCUCUCCUUCCACCAUGUUCCUGGAUUUACAGAAGGCGUGUUGUCAGUCCCGUUAGACGUGAACUGGUGGAGAACAGGACAAUUUGGCCUUGCUUUCAUUCCUCGUAUCCAGCUCUGAUCUGGACAGAGAAGAACUUGGGGCAGCAGAACCAGAAGGUGGCAGCGCAGGUACUUUUAGGAGACAAUCUGGUUCCCACAAGUAAAAACCCAAGGACAUCUGUGAUACAAAGAUGCCAAUCAAAGUGAGCAAAAAGGUGAAACGCGGGCUGGGAACUCGAGCUGGAGAGGGCUCGCUGGGUGAGUGCUUUCUACUCAAGCGUGAUGGGGGUCCUUAGCACUCAGGCAAACCUGGGUGUGGCUUUACGAGCUGCAGGAAGGAUCCACUGGGCCAGGUCAGUUCAGAAAAUAACAAUUCAGUAUCAUCCGGUAUUGGGUAUUGGGUCUAGCUAAGCUAGCAGAAAACUCAGGGGUGGCGGUAUUCCAAAUACGGACUAAUUCCUUCCAGAAGUAGCACUGGGGCCUCCGUGAUGUCACCAUCACCCUUUUACCCUGCUGUCUUCAAGAGAUGGCCAGGCUAGAUCCCACGAGACCUGUGGGACUGCCACUUGCCCGCCGAGGGUCUGAGCUCACUCAAUUGCAUUUUCCUCCACUCUGCUAAUAUGCAUAUACUAAGCCUAAACCCGGUACAGCGGUAGGCUGUAAUCCCAGCUACCCAGGAGCCUGAGGCAUUGCAGAUUGGAGGCAAAAGUUGGGGCACUUUCCAAGGCAGCCCAUUGUCUCAAAGAGCAGUGGGGCAAAAAUGAGUGGGGACGGAGCUCUUGAAACACCUGAAGUCCAAGUUGUGAAUAGCGGGAGGUUUUUAGUUUUAACCAGAAUUCUCAGUCUUCAGGCUGAGGGCGUAGCUCGGUUGGUAGAGUGCCUGCCUAGGUUGCACAGAGCUCAGGGUUCAAGCCCCAGAAGGCUGUUAACUGGGCUUGGUGAUGCAUGCCCAUAAAGCCAGCACUCAGGAGGUGGAGGCAGGAGGAUCACCAUUUACUGACGGUCAUCUUGUGCCUGGGAAACAUGAGUUGUAAAACAAACAAACAAAAAAGAAUUCCCAGUGCUCUCUCUCUCUCAGGGCAGCCAAGCUGUGUCCUUUGGGAUUAAUUCAUUGUCCUCUCUCUGUUUGGAGGCAGGCGCUUGCUGUGUGGCCCUGGAAAUCUUCCUGUCUCAGGCUCCCAGGGCUUUGACCUGAUAACUCCCUCUCUACUUGUCUCACAGUCAGUUGCUCUUGAGCUCGGCAGUUUCCCAAGAAUCAUAAACUAAAACAAGCCCAAGCUGAGGGGUGGUCGUCACUUUUACUGUGUUACUGUGACAGAAGCAAGGCCACUCGCAGAAGAAGUACUUAACUUGGAGUGGGAGGCUCCAGAACCGAGGAUGGUGGAGCAGAGGUAGCAGACUCAGGCAGUGCAAGCAGCAGCUGAGGGCUCACAUCUCGAACCCAAGACAGGGCGCAGAGAGAGCUCACUGAGAAUGAUCGUAUUGAAACUUCAAAGCCUGUCCCCCAGGGCCACACUUCCCAAGGAGCCACCAACUGGGGACUUGUGCUCAAAGGUCCCAGACUUACGAGGGACAUCUCAGUCGAACCAUCAAGUGAGCCUGAGGAUGAGGCUCCUGGGGCCAGCUUCACGGAGAGUCAGUUCUCCUAGAGGCCACCAAAGAGCAAGCACCGGCUGCCCAUCGUUGGUGCACAGGCUCCAGUGAACCACCCACUGGCAGGAGAGUGACGUGUUAGCUGUUCUCCGAGUGGAGUUGCAUCAGCCCCACCCCCUGGAGCUUGUUAAACAAGCAAAUCCUCCAGCCUCAGCUCAAGCCUGCCUGAUCAGAAACCCUGGGGGUUGCCCAGCAGGGUGGGGAAAAGCCCGCCAGGGGUUCUUGGGGUGAGUUUCUGGGGGAAACAACCACCUUACAAAGGUCCAUGGUUUCCUCUGUUUUGCUUUUGGCUUUUAAUUUAAACAAAUAUUUAGGGUAGUUUUUGAGAGAGAGGGUAUGCAUAGGAGUCAGAGAACAGCCUGUGGGAAUAGGCUCCCCCCCCCCCCCCCCCCGUCCACCAGGUGGUGCCUGAGGAUCAAACCCAGGGCUUCAUGCUUGACAGCAAGCGCCUUUACCCACGGAGCUGUCUCUCCAGCCCUCAUUGGUUGGUUGGUUUGAGACCAGGCUGUCCAAGCAAGCACGAUAGCUACCUCCCUGGGGUUGGGAUGACAAGUGUGUGCCGCCACGCCCGGUGAUAGGCAGUUUGCCUCGAAGCCAUCUUUGAUUGCAGGUGGGAUUACAUUCCGUGUUGGGUAGGAAGGAAAUGGGCCCAGAAAAGCUAAGGCUGCCUUGUCACGGGUCCUCGGGGUUGCGUUUCUGCCCUGUGUCCCCAGACAGCCAACCCCUCCCCGAGUGACCCACUCAUGCUGAGCCAGGAGGAGCAUGGCUGCCAUGGAGAUCAUUUCCGAGAGGAAAUUUAAAAGCAACUAAAAAUUUAGGCGAGCAGGAUGGCUCAGAGGAUGAAGGCAAUUGCCGACAAGCCCGAUGACCUAAGUUUGACCCCUGGGACCCUGAGGGCUGGAGGGUAAAACCAACUGUGAAUGUGUGAGCUCCCCCCACACACCUGUGUACACUCCUAAAUAACGGUAAAACUAACUUAAAAAAAAAAAAGAAAACAAGUAAAAACCAGGUUUGUGUUUUAUUAUUGUCAUGCUAUACAAACUCUAAACUGUAUCACUGAUAAAAUUCUCUAUGCCUCCCAGGUGCAGUGGCACACGCCUGUGAGCCCAGCACUCAGGGAGGCAGAGGCAGGCGGAUCUCUGUGAGUUCAAGGCCAGCCUGGUCUACAAAGUGAGUCCAGGAGCCAAGGCUACACAGAGAAACCCUGUCUCAAACAAACAAACAAAAUCUCUGCCUGCUUGGUGCCCUUAAAAAAAAAAACAUCUUCUUAUUCAUGCGCAUGAACCUGUGUUUCUCUGAGAGUACAGGCGUAUGUGGGUGCCUGAGGGUGCCGGAAGAGUUUAUCAGAUCGCCUGGAGCUGGACUCAGAGGCCGUUGUUAACGGUCACCUGAUAUGGAUGCAGAGAACUGACCUCCAGCUCUCUGAAAAUCAGGCCCUGUCGGCCACGCCUGCUCUGUUUAUCUUUUAGUCCUCAUGGAAGCUGAUGUAAGGAAUUCCCUGGAGGGCUGCUCCCCUGUCCCAGGUGGAAUCAAUUAUACACAAUUGUCUCAAGGCAGGUUACGAUAUUACAGAAUUGCUGGGCACAGGGUAGGAGUCGGGUUCCCGUAUAGAUAUGCCUGCAUUGAAACUACAGAUUGCUCUGUGGCUGAUAGGUUGCUCUUCCGCCACGUCUGAGUCUUGGGCCCAUGACUGUGGAUUUGAUCACGGGUGAAGAAUGAAUGUUUUAAGGUUUGUGCUGAGUGUGGGUAGAAUUCCCUUGUCAUCCUACUGUAAGCACCAUAGCAGAAGAGCGGCUUAGACUGUGUUUACAGUGACUACGAGCGUGGAGGGAGUCGGGCCUGCUGCGUGCUGCCAGCCUAUAAUGUCAGCCACUUAGAAAGCUGAGGCAAGAGGGCCCCAGGCUGGAGGACUGCGUGUCGGCCGGGUUGCAGAGUGAGUUCAAAGCCAGCUUGGACAGCUUAGUGAAAGCCUGUGACAACAAUCAAAGGUUUGUCUUUAAGCUGGUGGUGUAUCUCAGUGGAAGAAUGCUUGUAUAGGAUGUCUGAGGCCCUGGACCCGAGUAAGAAAGGGGGUGGGGGAGGGAGGAAAGAAGAGGAUGAUGCCAUGUGGACCAGCCUCUUAGGUUGGUAUCUAAGGGGUGACCUGUAUCCAGUCCCCAGAGACGCAAAGGGAUGGCUGUAUAGAGGCCACAAAGACAAAGAAAAGAACUUAGCCGAUUUCAGACCCUCCUCUCUCCAUGGCCAUUUAGGGUUUUCAUUUGUGCUUAAGACGUGAAACGGGGCUGGAGAGAGGGUGACUCAGUGACUGAAAGCACAUGCUGCUCCUGCCGAGUUCAAUUCCCAGCACCCAUCGGUGGGUCACAGGUGUGACCCCAGCUCAGAGACUCUUGACACCUAUGGCAACUGUGUGUACAUACACAUAAUUAAAAUGAUAGAAUAUUUAAAAUGUAAAGCAGGAAAGAUCUAAGAGAGUUUAACCCACCAAUGUUUGAGAUGUGAUGGAGUUGAAAAAAAAAUACUCAAGAUUAAUUUUUUUCUUUCUGUUUUUUUUCUGUUUUUGAGACAGGGUUUCUCUGUGUAGUCCUGGCUGUCUUGUAACUCACUCUGUAAACCAGGCUGGCCUUGAAAUCAUAAAGAUCCACCUGCCUCUACUCAAAGAGCUGGGAUUAAAGGCCUCCAUGGCUACCAGGGAAUUGUUUUUUGAUCACUCCAGUUGUAAUUCCCAAAUCAUCCUGUGGAGAGACAGCGGCCAUCUCUGUUGAAGUUCAUCAGAUCACACGUCGGAAGGGCACACCCUGUGCCGUUGGUCCAUCAUACCUCCACAAAGCAGUUUGCAUUUUAUUUACUUUUAUUAUUAUUAUUGUGGUGGUGGUGGUUUCUCUGUGUAGUUCUGGCUGUCCUGGAACUGUGUAGACCGGGCUGGCCUCAAGCUCACCUCGAUCUACCUUACUCUGGCUCCCGAGUGCUGGAAUCAAAGGCAUGCCCCUGUCAUCAUCAUCAUCAUCACUGAUGUGUGUGUGCUUGUGUGUGUGUGUGUGCUGUGAAUAUGUAUCCCACGGUUACAGAUGCACUCAAGCACAUAUGUGGAGUUGUGGAAGUCAGAGAACAAUCUGCAGGAGUCAGUUCCUGCCUCCAGAGAGCAGGGAUGAAACUCAGGUUACAAGGCUUGGGUAGCGAUCGUGUUUGCCCACUGAGGCGUCUCGCCAGCCCUAGAGCUUUUACAAAUGUCUCUCUGGGGCUAACGCUGUGGCUCAGCAGGUAGGGUGCAUGCCUAGGAAGCCUGAAACCCGGGCUUUGAUUUGAAACACUGAAUAAGGCCGGGCAUGGUGGCUCUCGCCCUAAUCCCAGCACCCGGAAGGUGGAGGCAGGAGAAUCAAGAAUGCUAGGUCAUCCUCGGCUACAGGGUGAAUUUGAGGCCAGCCGGAGAUAAGAGAAACUGCAUGUUUUUAAAAACUGGUGCUCGCUCUUGGUGAUAGGGGAGGGCGUGGCUCAGUGGCAGAGCACCACUCAAGCUUGCACAAGGCUCUUGGUUUCAUGCCACCGAAAAAAAUAAAAAGAAACUACUCAGCCUAGCACUUUCCAAGAGGCUUGGAAAAGAUUUUAAUUACCUCCAAUCACAUUUUUUUCCUCUGCCAAGUAAGUCACCACACAGAGACCGGGCAGUGAGAAGCCUUGGUUAUAUUUGGCUUGCAUAUAUUAUGCAUAGAGCUUGGUGUCUGUCGCAAUAAAUAGCCCGGCUGGGAUGAUUAAGGUGGCCCCUGCAGAUGCCAUCUGACAGGCAGAGAGGACUCUACAGUAGAAGAGGAAGCUCAGGCGCGUGAGGGGCAGUUGAAGUAAAGCAAAGAGAGAGAAGCUUCGAGUCUCUCGGAGACUUCCGGCAGAAAGGGAUUUAUCUUCAGUCAAAAUGCAGGUAGCAGUCACAUGGUAAACUGUGUGCAGCAGCGGGCAGGGACUGGGCAGGUCCCCGGGGUCACAGCAGCAGCCCAUGACUGCAUGUUCACGGGGUCCUCCACAGCCCUGGCGGUGACAACAGCUACUUUUGCAAAAUGCUUUUCGUUGGUUGGUGCUCCCGUUUCUCUGUGUUCUGGGUAAAAGCUGGUUCAUUUUCCAGGCGACAGCAUUGAGGCUCAUGGCUGGCCCGCUUGCCUUAGGCGGUGGGUUAAAGGCGUGCACCUCCACGCCCAGCGCACCUCCCAAGCUUACCUCUCCCUUUAUUUAUUUUAUUUUAUUUUUUAUUUUACUUAUUUAUUUUAUUUUUAAUAAAUUAUAGUUUAUUCCCA